rnacentral:other from 1 species
UCCUCUGUCGGAUGCGUGAGGCCAGCGAGCAAAUAGAAUCCCUUACGUUCAGACUGAACCCGGGGGUCAACCCUGAGUCGUGGUGAGCCGGCCCGGCAAGCUUCACCGGGAAGCCUUAAGCGAUUCAUACCGGCCCCCACCUGAGAAAGUCUCAGGGGUUCUAGUCCUCGCGCCCACGGUCAGGACGGUACGGAC